rnacentral:rRNA from 1 species
UACGUAGGGACCAAGCGUUGUUCAGAUUUACUGGGCGUAAAGGGCGCGUAGGCGGCUUGACAAGUCACUUGUGAAAUCUCCGGGCUUAACUCGGAACGGCCAAGUGAAACUGUCAUGCUAGAGUGCAGAAGGGGCAAUCGGAAUUCUUGGUGUAGCGGUGAAAUGCGUAGAUAUCAAGAGGAACACCUGAGGUGAAGACGGGUUGCUGGGCUGACACUGACGCUGAGGCGCGAAAGCCAGGGGAGCAAACGGG